UACGGAAGGCAGCAGUGGGGAAUAUUGCACAAUGGGCGCAAGCCUGAUGCAGCCAUGCCGCGUGUAUGAAGAAGGCCUUCGGGUUGUAAAGUACUUUCAGUCGUGAGGAAGGUGUUAAGGUUAAUAACCUUAGCAAUUGACGUUAGCGACAGAAGAAGCACCGGCUAACUCCGUGCCAGCAGCCGCGGUAAUACGGAGGGUGCGAGCGUUAAUCGGAAUUACUGGGCGUAAAGGGCACGCAGGCGGUUAAUUAAGUUGGAUGUGAAAUCCCCGGGCUUAACCUGGGAAUGGCAUUCAAGACUGGUUAGCUAGAGUCUUGUAGAGGGGGUAGAAUUCCGAUGUGUAGCGGUGAAAUGCGUAGAGAUGUGGAGGAAUACCGGUGGCGAAGGCGGCCCCUGGACAAAGGCUGACGCUCGAUGUGCGAAAGCGUGGGGAGCGAAA
rnacentral:rRNA from 1 species